rnacentral:lncRNA from 1 species
GAUAACCUCCUUAAGGAAUCAAAUAAAUAAUUUGAAUAAUAUUUUGUGUGUUACAAGAUGCUUCUACACAAGUAGAUUUUACAUAAAUGAAUAACAAACACUUAAAGAAAAACUGUGUACAAAAGAAUGAUAGCUUUUCACAAAGAAAAUAGACUUGUCAAAAUAUUGUGUCACCGACGUUUUUCUUCAAGUCUUCGAGUUUUACUUAUAUAGCAUAAGCAUAAGACCGUUGGAAGCCAAAAUGGGGAAAGAU